GUAAAGAUUUAUCGGUUCGAGAGGAACCUGCGGCCUAUCAGCUUGUUGGUAAGGUAACGGCUUACCAAGGCUAUGACGGGUACCUGGUGUGAGAACACGGCCAGGCAGAAUGGGACUGAGACACGGCCCAUACUCCUACGGGAGGCAGCAGUGAGGAAUUUUCCGCAAUGGGCGAAAGCCUGACGGAGCAAUCCCGCGUGGAGGAUGACACCCUUCGGGGCGUAAACUCCUUUUCUGAGGGAAGAAAUUCUGACGGUACCUCAGGAAUAAGCACCGGCUAACUACGUGCCAGCAGCCGCGGUAAUACGUAGGGUGCAAGCGUUAUCCGGAAUUAUUGGGCGUAAAGCGUUCGAAGGCGGAUGAAUAAGUCUGAUGUUAAAUACCCAUGGCUCAACCGGGGUCUCGUAUCGGAAACUGUUCGUCUAGAGAAAGACAGAGGCAGGUAGAAUUUCCAUUGUAGGGGUUAAAUCCGUAGAUAAUGGAAGGAAUACCAAAAGCGAAGGCAGCCUGCUGGGUCUUUUCUGACGCUGCGCGAACGAAAGCGUGGGGAGCAAAAGGGAUUAGAUACCCCUGUAGUCCACGCCGUAAACGAUGGAUACUCGGUGUUCGGGAGUCCAAUCCUCCUGAGUACCCAAGCUAACGCAUUAAGUAUCCCGCCUGAGGAGUACGACCGCAAGGUUAAAACUCAAAGGAAUAGACGGGGAUCCACACAAGCGGUGGAGCGUGUUGUUUAAUUCGACAAUAAGCGAGGAACCUUACCAGGGCUUGACAUCCUGCGAAUCUUCUAGAAACAGAAGAGUGCCCUCGGGAAUGCAGUGACAGGUGUUGCAUGGUUGUCGUCAGCUCGUGCCCUGAGGUGUUCGGUUAAGUCCGUUAACGAGCGCAACCCUUGUCGUAUGUUGUAUCUUUCAUGCGAGACUGCCGGCUUCAAGUCGGAGGAAGGUAGGGAUGACGUCAAAUCAGCAUGACCCUUAUGUCCUGGGCGACAAACGCGCUACAAUGGCCGGUACAAUGCGUAGCUAAACCGUAAGGUGGAGCCAAUCGCAUCAAAACCGGUCUCAGUUCGGAUUGAGGUCUGAAACCCGACCUCAUGAAGUUGGAAUCGCUAGUAAACGCCGAUCAGCCAUGCGGCGUUGAAUAUGUUCCUGGAUCUUGUACUCACCGCCCGUCAAGUCACGAAAUCUGGGGGUACCCGAUGUGGGGUUAGUCCGCCUCGGUGGACGCCUCCCUAAGGUAAAACCAGUGAUUGGGAUUAAGUCGUAACAAGGUAACC
rnacentral:rRNA from 1 species